UGGAUCCAGACUUUGAUCAUGGCUCAGGACGAACGCUGGCGGCGUGCCUAAUACAUGCGGGUCGAGCGAGCUUGCCUAGAUGAUUUUAGUGCUUGCACUAAAUGAAACUAGAUACAAGCGAGCGGCGGACGGGUGAGUAACACGUGGGUAACCUGCCCAAGAGACUGGGAUAACACCUGGAAACAGAUGCUAAUACCGGAUAACAACACUAGACGCAUGUCUAGAGUUUGAAAGAUGGUUCUGCUAUCACUCUUGGAUGGACCUGCGGUGCAUUAGCUAGUUGGUAAGGUAACGGCUUACCAAGGCAAUGAUGCAUAGCCGAGUUGAGAGACUGAUCGGCCACAUUGGGACUGAGACACGGCCCAAACUCCUACGGGAGGCAGCAGUAGGGAAUCUUCCACAAUGGACGAAAGUCUGAUGGAGCAACGCCGCGUGAGUGAAGAAGGGUUUCGGCUCGUAAAGCUCUGUUGGUAGUGAAGAAAGAUAGAGGUAGUAACUGGCCUUUAUUUGACGGUAAUUACUUAGAAAGUCACGGCUAACUACGUGCCAGCAGCCGCGGUAAUACGUAGGUGGCAAGCGUUGUCCGGAUUUAUUGGGCGUAAAGCGAGUGCAGGCGGUUCAAUAAGUCUGAUGUGAAAGCCUUCGGCUCAACCGGAGAAUUGCAUCAGAAACUGUUGAACUUGAGUGCAGAAGAGGAGAGUGGAACUCCAUGUGUAGCGGUGGAAUGCGUAGAUAUAUGGAAGAACACCAGUGGCGAAGGCGGCUCUCUGGUCUGCAACUGACGCUGAGGCUCGAAAGCAUGGGUAGCGAACAGGAUUAGAUACCCUGGUAGUCCAUGCCGUAAACGAUGAGUGCUAAGUGUUGGGAGGUUUCCGCCUCUCAGUGCUGCAGCUAACGCAUUAAGCACUCCGCCUGGGGAGUACGACCGCAAGGUUGCAACUCAAAUGAAUUGACGGA
rnacentral:rRNA from 1 species